CAAGGAAACAAAAUGGCGGCCAACUAGCGACAAACUACCAAGAUUUACAGCUAAACGUAUCCAUGGACGCUGAACAGCCACUAGAUGGUGCUUUGGAUCCAUAGGAGAAACUCAAAAACAGUCUUGACUGUCCUCCAGUCUGUAGCGGAUCUGGUAUUUGGCCUGGAACAGGAAGUCUUUCAGAGCGGGCGGGGCCUCCCAGCGAACACUCAGCUGGUCCUCUAACUGUCCGACACGACUCACCGUCACACCUGAUGGAGGGUCCGUGGUCACUGGAGGAGGAGGAGAUGGAGGAGCUCAUUAAAUAAGAAGAUCUCAUCAACAGGCAAACUUACUCCCGACGUAGAGACAUGAGCCAGCCAAGAUGUGUCCCUUGUGAUUGUGACAGACCAGGUUGUCACCGGACGUCUGCCUGGAGGCGUUGAGACCGGCCAGCGUCACGCU